rnacentral:snRNA from 1 species
AUGCUUAAGCAGCACAUACACUAAGAUUGGAACAACGCAGAGAAGCUGAGCAUGGCCCCUGCACAGGAGAACGUACACAUUCAGGAAGGAUUCCAUAUUUUU